AUUCCAGCUCCAAUAGCGUAUAUUAAAGUUGUUGCAGUUAAAAAGCUCGUAGUUGGAUUUCUGGUAUAAUGCGCCUGGCCCGCCACGGUUACGUGUGAGAGUGCCGGUGCGCGUUUGCCAUCCUUCUAGUAAACGAUUCUGCACUUUACUGUGCGGAUUCGCGAACUAGAACUUUUACUUUGAAAAAAUUAGAGUGUUUAAAGCAGGCAAUUGCUGUGAAUACAUUAGCAUGGAAUAAUGAUCUAGGACUUCGGUUCUAUUUUGUUGGUUUCUAGCACUGAGGUAAUGAUUGAUAGGGAUAGUUGGGGGUGCUAGUAUUUAGAGGCCAGAGGUGAAAUUCUUGGAUUCUCUAGAGACUAACUUAUGCGAAAGCAUUCACCAAGGAUGUCUUCAUUA
rnacentral:rRNA from 1 species